rnacentral:lncRNA from 1 species
AGGGGAUCGAGUCCAGGGUAGAGGAGAUCACUGACAAACUAGAAUAUCUUGCACAAGAAAAAGAUGUUCUGGGAUUGAAAGAAGGCGUUGGAGAAAAAUUGUCACAAAGAUGGCCCGCGACUUCCUUGGUAGAUGAGUCUGGGGAGGUGUACGGAAGGGAAGGUAAUAUACAGGAGAUAGUUGAAUAUUUGUUGUCCCAUAAUGCAAGUGGGAAUAAGAUAAGUGUGAUCGCCCUGGUGGGUAUGGGCGGUAUUGGAAAGACCACACUUGCUAAGCUGGUGUAUAAUGAUAGGAGAGUGGUGGAAUGUUUUGACCUUAAAGCUUGGGUUUGUGUUUCCGAUGAAUUUGAUCCUGUCAGGAUAACGAAAACCAUUCUUAAGGCAAUCGAUUCUGGGGCUUCUGAAAAAUAUUCUGAUGAUAGUGAUUUGAAUCUGCUUCAACUUAAAGUGAAGGAGAGACUUAGUAAGAAGAAAUUCUUACUUGUCCUUGAUGAUGUUUGGAAUGAAAACUAUAAUAAUUGGGAUAUGCUACAAACUCCAUUCACCGUUGGUCUAAAUGGAAGUAAGAUUAUAGUAACUACACGUAGUGAUAAGGUUGCAUCGGUCAUGCGUUCAGUUCAUAUUCAUCAUUUGGGACAGUUAUCCUUUGAGGACUGCUGGUCGCUAUUUGCAAAACAUGCAUUUGAAAAUGGAGAUUCUAGUCUACAUCCAGAACUUGAAGAAAUUGGCAAAGGGAUUGUAAAGAAGUGUAAAGGAUUGCCUUUGGCUGCAAAGACCCUAGGGGGUGCCUUAUACUCAGAGUUACGAGUAAAAGAAUGGGAAUUUGUGUUGAACAGCGAAACGUGGGAUUUACCGAAUGAUGAAAUUCUCCCUGCCUUAAGGUUAAGCUAUUCUUUUCUUCCUUCACAUUUAAAGCGAUGUUUUGCAUAUUGCUCAAUUUUUCCUAAGGACUACGAAUUUGAAAAGGAAAUUUUGAUUCUAUUGUGGAUGGCUGAAGGCUUUUUGCAACAAUUUGAAAACAAGAAAACAAUGGAAGAAGUGGGUGAUGGGUACUUUUAUGACCUAUUAUCAAGGUCAUUUUUUCAGAAGUCCAAUAGUCACAAAUCAUAUUUUGUAAUGCAUGAUCUCAUUCACGACUUGGCUCAACUUGUUUCUGGAAAAUUUUGUGUUCAAUUGAAGGAUGGUAAGAUGAAUGAAAUUCUUGAAAAGCUCCGCCAUUUAUCAUAUUUUAGAAGUGAAUAUGACCCGUUUGAGAGAUUUGAGACCCUAAAUGAAGUUAAUGGUCUUCGUACCUUCUUUCCUUUGAAUUUGAUAACUUGGCCUCGAUUUGACAAGGUUUCAAAUAAUAGAAAUCCAAAUGCUGUUAGGUAUGUUGUAGAUUUUCGGUUGAGUAAUAGAGUUUGGACCGAUUUAUUAUUGAAAGUUCAAUAUUUACGAGUAUUAUCAUUAUGCUACUAUAAGAUAACGGAUUUGUCUGAUUCAAUUGGUAAUUUGAAACAUUUGCGCUAUUUGGACCUUACCUACACACUCAUCAAAAGGUUACCAGAGUCGAUUUGUAGUUUGUAUAAUUUACAAACAUUGAUAUUAUACGAGUGUAGAUGUCUUGUUGAAUUGCCUAAAAUGAUGUGGAAAAUGAUUAGCUUACGUCAUCUUGAUAUCAGGCAUAGCAAAGUGAAAGAGAUGCCAAGUCACAUGGGUCAAUUAAAAAGUCUACAAAAAUUGAGUAACUAUAUAAUGGGUGAGCAAAGUGGGACAAGGGUUGGAGAGUUGAAGAAGCUUUCGCGCAUUGGUGGAAGUCUUGUCAUUCAAGAGCUGCAGAAUGUGGUUGAUGCUAAGGAUGCCUCAGAGGCCAAUUUGGUAGGCAAGCAAUAUCUGGAUGAGUUACAGUUGGAAUGGAAUCGUGGUAGUGAUGUUGAACAAAAUGGAGCAGAGAUAGUGCUGAACAACUUACAACCUCAUUCAAACUUAAAGAGACUCACUAUUUACGGUUAUGGUGGUUCAAGAUUUCCAGAUUGGUUAGGUCCUUCAGUUCUGAAUAUGGUGUCGCUACGUCUCUGGUAUUGUACGAAUAUGUCAACCUUCCCACCGCUGGGGCAGCUACCCUCUCUUAAACAUUUAUAUAUAUCGGGGUUGGAGGAGAUAGAAAGGGUGGGCGCAGAGUUUUAUGGGACUGAGCCCUCCUUUGUCUCCCUAGAAGCUCUAUCAUUUCGGGGUAUGCGAAAAUGGAAGGAAUGGUUGUGUUUGGGAGGCCAAGGUGGAGAAUUCUCUCGUCUCAAGGAGCUUUAUAUAGAGAGGUGUCCCAAGCUAAUCGGAGCCUUACCAAAUCAUCUGCCUUUGUUGACGAAACUAGAGAUUGUACAAUGUGAGCAGCUUGUGGCUGAACUUCCAAGGAUUCCAGCCAUCCGUGUAUUGACGACACGCAGCUGUGACAUCUCACAGUGGAAGGAACUACCACCACUACUGCAGGAUCUCUCAAUUCAAAAUUCCGACUCUUUGGAGUCCCUAUGGGAGGAGGGAAUGUUGCAAAGUAAUACUUGUCUUCGACAGUUGAGAAUCAGAAAUUGCUCUUUUUCGAGACCCUUGUGCAGAGUUUGUUUGCCCAUUACAUUGAAUUCGUUAUAUAUAAACGAUUCUAAGAAACUAGAGUUUCUCCUACCUGAGUUUUUAAAAUGUCACCACCCUUCCCUUGACUAUUUGUCUAUCGUCAGAAGUAAUUGCAAUUCUCUCUCAUCCUUCCCACUCGGCAACUUCCCAAGUUUAACUGAGCUCGCUAUCUGCAAACUCAGGGGGAUUGAAUCCCUCUCCAUUUCAAUUUCAGAGGGCGAUGUUACAUCUUUUCAUUGGUUGAACAUCAGAAGUUGCCCUGAUCUUGUGUCUAUUGAAUUGUCAGCUCUCGACUUCUCACGAUAUUCCAUCUUCAAGUGCAAGAAUCUCAAGCGGCUGCUGCACAACGCUGCAUGCUUUCAGUCAUUAACAAUAGAAGGUUGUCCUGAAUUGAUAUUCCCAAUACAAGGUCUGCAAGGACUGUCCUCUCUUACCUCUCUCAAAAUCUCAGAUCUUCCAAAUCUCAUGUCCCUUGACAGUUUGGAGCUUCAACUGCUCACCUCACUUGAAAAAUUAGAGAUCUGUGGCUGCCCCAAGCUCCAAUUCUUGACAGAAGGGCAGCUGCCCACCAACCUUUCUGUUCUAACAAUUCAGAACUGCCCAUUUCUGAAAGAUCGGUGCAAGUUUUGGACAGGGGAAGAUUGGCAUCAUAUAGCUCACAUUCCACACAUUGCGAUCGAUGACCAAGUUUUGUAAUGAAGAUGGCAUUACACCAAUUUAUAGUCAGGUACUUGUUCUGUCCUAAAAAUGAUUGUCUCUGGAAAACUAACAUACUUAAUACCAAGUUUGAUUUGAUCCAUUAUAAAUAGGAAAAAUAUGCUUUAAAUUUUCUAAUUAUUAUAACAAUUUCUUGCUUUCUUUCAGGUCAUCUGUGAUGCUUCACUCUGGCUCUGAUCAACAUAUCUUCAUAAGGAAUCUUUUAAGACUCCCUUGCUUAAUUAGUGCCUUGUCAAAUGCUUCAGGUUUCAUUUAGAGUGAAUUGAUGCUUAAAAGCCAAGCAGCUCUGCAGGUCUGAUUUUGUAAAUUGUGUUUCUUGUACAAUUUUAUGGACCUUGAAUUUGUUUUCAUUGGCUAAUUUGCUGAAAUCUGAUGGCAGGCCUUUGAUCCUUGUUCUCUCAACAAACUCUAGCUGUCUAGCAAUGAUUUCCAACGGGACCAUCUUUUUGUUGUGAGUUCAGGUUCAUGACUCUCUUUUUGGACAACAGUAGCCGAGAUUUUUUGCACCCAAAGAAUCAUGAGUUGAUACUCUGCUGGAGGAACUACAGAAGCUCAACUCUGUUGGAGAGUGGAGGAUGCAGCAGGCUCUAUGAUUCCAGUUAGUGAGACAUUUCGAUUGCUUUGGUUUAACUUUCUAAGCUACAAACUACAAUACUCAUAAUCUCAUAUGCAUUAUUUUUCAGGUUCUUUGAGGUUGCAUCAGCGUUGAUAUCUUAGUUCUUCUCUAAAAACAACAGGUAUGUUUCUUUUAAUUCAUACUUUUCAUAAGCUGACACAUUGUGGAGUUCCAUCAUUUUCAACACGAGAUAAACCUAAUACUAAAUUCUACUGAAGCUAAAACAAAAAUCUUACUGCCUGAGGUUCUGUCUUUCAUGAAUUUUAUUCACUAUGUUCAUAUGGCAUCUAAGCAACCUAGACGUUAACAUUUUCCUUGGUCUACAUAUUGUUUUCAUCUCUUUCAGCUUUGAUUAAUCUGCAGACAUUCGGUUUAGGCACCUCAAACUCAAAAUCUUCAGCUUCUGUCAUGCCAUCUCCUUCUCAUUUCAUGAUUGUCAUCCACCUUUGAGCUUUACUUUGUUAAUGGUAAGAUAGUCAUAAUAGUACUACAAUAGUUGAGCAUGGAUUGACAACAAUGAAUGCUUUCAGUCUUCAACAUCACAUGGUUGUCCUGAAUUGAUAUUCCCAAUGCAGGGUCUUCCCUCCAACCUAAAUUCACUUACAAUAACAAACUGCAACAAACUUACAUCCCACAUGGACUGUGGCCUGCAAGGGCUGGCCUCUCUUACCUCUCUCAAAAUCUCAGGUCUUCCAAAUCUCAGGUCCCUGGACAGUUUGGGGCUUCAACUGCUCACCUCUCUCCAAAAAUUAGAGAUCCGUGACUGCCCCAAGCUCUAAUCCUUGACAGAAAUGCUGCUGCCCACCUCCUUUCUGUUCCAACAAUCCAGAACUGCCCAUUGCUGAAAGGUCAGUGCAAGUUUUGGACAAGGGAAGAUUGGCAUCAUAUAGCACACAUUCCAAACAUUGUGAUCGAUGACCAAGUUUUGUAAUGAAGGUAGCAUUACACUAAUUUUUAGUCAAGUACUUGUUCUGUCCUUAUAGUAAUUUUCUCAGGAAAACUGAUAUGCUUAAAUACCAAUUUUAAUUUGAUCCAUCAUAAAUGGGAAAAAAUAUGCUUUAAAUUUUCUAAUUAUUAUAAUAACUUCUUGCUUCUUUCAGGUUAUCAGUAAUUCUUCUCUCUUGUAAAUUGAUGCUUAAAAGCCAAGCAGCUCUGCAGGUCUGAUUUUGUAACUUGUUUUUCUUGUAUAAUUUUAUGGACCUUGAAUUCGUUUUCAUUGGCUAAUUCACUGAAACUCAUGGAAUGCCUCUGAUCCUAUUUUUUUCAAUAAAUUCGAGCUGUCUAGCAACAAUCCUUCCAAUGGGACCUUUUUUUAUCGAGUUCAAAGACUCUUUCUGGAAGAUUGUAGCAGAUAUUUUCUAGCAUCCAUAGACUCAUGAUUGAUAAUCUGCUUGAGGAACUGAGAAAGCUCAACUCUGUUAGAGAGUGGAGCAUGCAACAUGCUCUGUGAUUCCCAUUAGUCAGAUAUUUUAAUUGCUUUUGUUUAACUUUCUAAGCUACAAAUUACAAGGAUUUAUAAUUCCAUGUGCAUUAUUUUUCAGGUUCUCUGUGUUAAUAUUCUAGUUCUUCUCUAGAAAAAACAGGUAUGUUUCUUCUGUGUUAAUACUUUUCAUAAGAUGACACAUUGUGGAGUUCCAUCAUAUGCAUGACAAGAUAAACCCAAUUCUAAAAUCAACUCAGCCGAAAACACAUUGUGGAGUUCCAUAUGGCAUCUUAGCGCCGUAAAUGUUAACAUUUUCCUUAGUGUAAUCAUUGUUUUAGCUUCAAUUAAUCUGCAGAUGUUCAGUUUAGACAUCUCAAACACAAAAGCUUCAGCUUCUGACAGGCCACCACUUCCUAGUCUCUGCUCAUCUCCUUCCCAUUUAACUAUUGUCAUCAACCUUCGAUUUUUUUACAUCGUUGAUGGUAAAAGAAUCAUAAUUGUACUACAUUUGUUGAGCAUGGAUGCUACCAUUUAAUUUCCAUAUUCAAGCUUUUCUUGUACUUACAAAUGAUAAUGUGAGCUCUGGAUUUUCUUCUUUUAAAUUUGUGAUUCUGAGGCAGAUGCUUGGAGAAGAGAGAAGUCAAACCAUAUUCAAAGUCAUUGCAGUGCAGAGUAUGGUUUUGUUCCACCAAGUUCAGGUCAGUUGAGUGGAAUCUUAUUAAUACUUCAAGGACGCAUGAUCAAAUUGGCUGAUUUUCCAAACUUGAUGAGUGCCUCUAACCAUGAACGAACUAUUUUUUUUACCAGCUUUGUGUUAAGAAAUUGUGAUCGUGUUGGAUCUACUCAUACCACCUCCCUCCAUGAUGAAUUUUAACUACUCAAUACUUGGAGGAUGGCUACUCAACUGAAUUCUAUUUAUUGGAGCACGAUUUGAGCUUUUCUUCCUUACUCAGGUAUAGUGCUAUAAAAUUUUCAGUCUGAAGAGUAUUUAUAACCCCCUACGAAUUUUAAUGUCAGAUUCAGCUGAUUGGCAUGUGACCGUAUUUUUUUUCAGAUGGUAGCAUUUUGAAUCUUUGGAACAAUUGCAGGAGGAAGCUUUGCCAAAGCCUCCCUAUGCAAUACAUGGGCCUUUGGUUGCAAGUGAGAUUUGAGGAUUCUAUUUUCUCUUGGAAGACUUCAACUCAUUUUUUUUGAGUUUUGAGCUUUGCGCUUUUACUUCCAAGCAUAUGCAAAGAAGAAAGAAAGCAACAACAAAGGUCCAGUUAUAGAAGUUUUAUACGGAGUGAGACUCCCAUGAAAAAUAUUGUAGCUAUUGGUUUGUCAACCUUGAAGGAUAUAGUUUUGUUUCCCAUUGGAUCUCUGACGAAUGUGUUUGUUGAAUCAUACAUUUUGAACUUACUAUUGAUUUUGUGUAUAUACAUAAAUAUAAAUGAUGUUUUCUUCUUCCAAAUACUGCACAUGACAAGUCAGAACAAGAAACAUUUUAGAAAAAGUAGGAAACUGACAUUAGCAUUAAUCAUGAGGCCUCUAAUGGUGACCAAGAAAAUGGCAAUUGCAAAUGACUCACCAUCAAAAUGGCAAAAGAAUUAGCAACUACUAUGUCCCCAUCCACUAGUGCCGGCACAAAAUUGAGAGGAUUCAGCUUUGAAAACUCUAAAAUUCGAAAAUUGUAAAAAUAUUAAGAAGCUACUUGAAAAACAACAGAAUGAUCAAGGUAAGUCCAGUACUCAUAAAUUUUGCAUAUGUUUAAAGACAAAUUGGAAAGCUGAGAAUAUAACGGAAUUAAGCAAUGAAUAAGAACCCCCAAAUAUAUUCCUUUCACAGAAAAAAUCAGUGGAACGGGAUGAUCCCAACAAAACUAAGAAUUAUAUUAAAUCCAUGUUUAUCUCCUAGAAAUACAGGGAAAAAAAACAAUAAAAAGAAAUCAGAAGUUCUGAUGAUGCGUAUCAAGAAGAGUCUAACUGCCUUGUACCAAGUUCACUGCCUUGUACUCGUUUUUCAGCCCUGUUCAAAGUUGAAGCACAAAAGACCCAGAUAGAAUAACCAAAAAUUGAUUUAAUGAAAAGAAAAAGAAAAUUAGGGUUUGGAGUAAAGAAGGAAAGAAGGAAAAAGAAUGGAACGUUUCAAGUUGAGGGCUAUUCGAACACGACAGGAGCAGGAACUCCGCCAAUAUGAAUACAGCUUCAGCUGAGUAUCCUCCUAUCCCCAUAUCCCCCAUAGUCCCCAUACAACAUAAACAUAUCAGAAUUCAGAAAUAUAUAAAAAGAAUUAUGAUGGAGAAGACCCACUCACCAUAGUUGCAGUUUGAUGGAAAAACACUGAACACUGCCCACUGCCCACUGCCCACUGCCAUCUCCUUUACCUCCCCAAACAAUAUUAAUAUGGAGAAUUAUAAUUUAGGUUACAAAUAAUAAUUUUUCUAUAUUUUAAUAUUUUUUUUAAAGAUGAUGAGAUAACAUCCGUAAAGACGUUAUAUUUUUAUGUUUUUAAAAGGUAGAAUUCAUCUUUUUAGAAUAUUUUUUUAAUUAAAUAACCCUUUUAAAAUAUCAAAUAAUUUGGUAUACAUUUUCUCCUACAAUUUAUAAAUUUACUUAAUAUAAAAAUAUUUUACUACUAAGACUAUAAAAAUUUUCAAAAUUUUCUUUUCUUUAUAUUCUUCUUAUUUUCCAUAAUUAUUUUUCUUUCAUUAUUAUUAUUCACUUUAUUAUUUUUACAAAUAAAAAAAAUGAAAGGAUAAAUAAUAAUUAAAAAAAUAAAAUAAAAUAAUAACAUUUUUAUCUUUUUUUCUCAUUUAUUGAUUUAUAGUUUUUUUUUCUAAUAUUUUAUCUCAAUUACAACACAUUUUAUAAAGCAUAUUCUCCUAAAUUAAUAAGGAAGAAGAUGACAAAAAUGCAAGAAAAAAAAAAAAAAAAUAUUUCUUCGCAUCUUCCUAUGUCAUCAACUUCCAUGCUCAUUUUAGUUUUAUUGCCACGUGGGGCCCUAAGUGGUAAGAGUAGACACAUUGAUUUAUUAUUAUAAGGGAAAGUUAGGUUUUAGACUAUCAAUAUCAAAAUAAUAACAUAUUCAAAACCUAUGUUGCUAAUUUCAAGUUUAAAAUGCUAAUCUCAAAAAUAUUUUAUAUUUCAUGCACUUUGAAUUGAGCUAUUUUUUAAUACUCAACAUACCUUCUCUUUCUGUCAAGUCAACCUCCACAAGUUUUAAAAAAACAAAAGACCAAAAAUAAAAAACAACUUUAUAGCAAAAUCUUUGUUCUUCGUUGUUUUAUUUCUGCGUAAACCCUCAAAUCACUUUUCCUUCUUUUGCAUUUUGGUGUAUACAAGAGUUUACAUCUUACGCAAAUAACUUCCAAUCUAGCCUCUUUUAAAAUUUUUGGUUCCUUUUAUUUUAUAUAGUUUAAAUUGAUGUUGAAAACCCUUUAUAAAAAAUAAUUAAACAUAUCUUAAAUUUAUUCUUAAAAAUAACUACAAACCAAUUUUCAAAAUUCUUUUUUUUUUCCUUUAUCAAAAGCUUACCUGUUUCAAAAUCGCAUUAAUUUUGUCCUAGCCAAAUUUUUAUUUAUUUAUUUUCCUGUUGUAAACUAUCAUUUUGGUGGCUGCAGGGACUGUCUCCUAGUUCUGCCACUUGAUCUCUCCGGCCAAACUGCUGUUAAUUAAUCAGCAUGUCUCCGUCCUCUUUGUGGAACUUUUUCUUUUCUACUGUGGAACUUUUUCUUUUCUACCCUAAACUAAAAUUGCACUACCUCUAAAUUAUUAUUAUUAUUAUUAUUAUUAUUAUUAUUAUUAUUAUUAUUAUUAUUAUUAUUGUUGUUGUUGUUGUUGUUGUUGUUGUUGUUGUUGUUGUUGUUGUUGUUGUUGUUGUUUAAUAUGAUUGGAUUUUGGAUUUUUUGAAUAAUUUAUUUGAGUAGAGGCUCAAAACGGAUUUUCCACAAGGUGGGUUCAGCUGUUGGUUUGGGUGUGGUCACUGCAACAGAAUGGGUGUGAGCUCCUCCCCAAAACCCCCCUCACAUGACAUCUCUCUUUCAGCUGUUGGUUUGGGUGUGGUCACUGCAACAGAAUGGGUGUGAGCUCCUCCCCAAAACCCCCCUCACAUGACAUCUCUCUUUCCUCCUUUUUCCCUCUAUUCCCAAAACCCAAUGCCCGCCUUUCUCAGAGGGCUUUUUUUAACUUCUUCGGUUAGUUUUUUUUUUAAAAAGAAAAAUCUUAAAAAUUAUAAUUUUAAAAUUAUUAAUAAACUUAUGAUACUUUUUACCACGUUGAAAUAUAUGUUUAAUAAAAAACAUUUUUUAUAUUUUUCAUAUCAAUGAUAUGUGUUAAAAAAAAUUGAAUUUAGACUAAAAGUAUCUCUUCAAGAGACCUUCCAUAAUUUCAUAAAACUGAAUUUAUGUUACAAGCAUUUCUUCAAGAGACAUUUUUUUUAUAAUUUUUUUUAUUAUUCAUACAUGUUAAGCAAAUUGAAUUUAUAUUAAAGAUGUCUCUUUAAGAGACACCUUUAAUGUAAAUUUAUUUAUUUUUAUCGUGUGUUAUUGAUAUGAAAAUUGUUGAAGUAUUUCUUUAAGAGAUAUUUUUUAAUGUGAUGAAAAGUGUGAUAAAUUUAAAAAUAUUUUCCAAUGUACUGUUGAGAUAUUAUGAAUGUUUUCCUUAU